AUUGAACGCUGGCGGCAGGCCUAACACAUGCAAGUCGAGCGAGCGGCGGACGGGUGAGUAAUGUCUGGGAAACUGCCUGAUGGAGGGGGAUAACUACUGGAAACGGUAGCUAAUACCGCAUACCAUCAGAUGUGCCCCGAUGGGAUUAGAUGGUAGGUGGGGUAACGGCUCACCAAGGCGACGAUCCCUAGCUGGUCUGAGAGGAUGAUCCGCCACACUGGAACUGAGACACGGUCCAGACUCCUACGUGAGGCAGCAGGGGGGAAUAUUGCACAAUGGGCGCAAGCCUGAUGCAGCCAUGCCGAGUGUGUGAAGAAGGCCUUAGGGUUGUAAAGCACUUUCAGCGGGGAGGCGUUACCCGCAGAAGAAGCACCGGCUAACUCCGUGCCAGCAGCCGCGGUAAUAC
rnacentral:rRNA from 1 species